CACAAGCGAGACUAGUGUUAUUCAUCUUUAUUAGGUUUAAAGGGUACCUAGACGGUAUUUUCAGCCUGUGCAGGGUACAAAAAUACUAGAGUUUUAUUUGAGAGGUAAAUAUUAGGACUAUUGGUGUAAAGAUGAAAUUUUUUGAUACUAAUGGGACGGAUAACGGCGAAGGCAAUCCUCUAUAUAUGAACUGACGUUAAGGGACGAAGGCUUGGGGAGCGAAUAGG
rnacentral:rRNA from 1 species